UUAGAAGACAAAAAACGGCUUUCAAUGAAUCUCAUCACUAGCUGACUCGAGUCUGCAAUUAAUAAAAGCGUGCCAAUCACGUGAUCUAUGGUUCCAUACCUCAGGGGUAGCUGAACUUUGGAUAAACGGGUUUGCAUUUGGCGGUUGCUGUUCUUUUCUUUCACUUUGAGUUCUUCUUUUUCUAGAAAUUUGAUGGUUGAAUGUGUGUCAGACGACGAUUCGUACUUUGAACCCUCGAUCAGACACAUCCACACAUAUACACAUAGGAGAAGGGCGGUAGACAAUUGACUACAUAUUUCAAUUGGAAUUUGUUUAUAGGCAAAUCAAUUGAUUCACAUGAGAACCUUUGACGUCUCCAAUUGCCAAACAAUUUGCUGGCCCAUGCUGUCAAUUAGACUUUGUGCCUUCAUGGCGCAACAGAACAGCCAAAUUGCAAAGCACUAGCCGAGGGAAAGCCUCACGCAACCUUUGCUGAUAGCAGAACAAAUUUGCUUAUCGGAGGAGGUACUCUGCUAAUCCGGAUUUCUAGGUGUACGCCAAGUGCUUCGAUUCGAAGAGUCUGAAAUGCGAUUUUCGAAAAAACAGUUUCCAUUUCCGUAACGUUGAACACUUCAUUUUAAUAGUUUUCACUCAUACGAAUACAUGGUAUUAUUCAAUAAUUUGUGGCGUCACAGCACGCAUACUCGUAUAUAGUAUUGUAUAGUAAAGUUUUGUACGUUUGUGUAUAUUUAUAAUAUGUAAAUAGGUCACAAAAUUGCCCAGCACGAGAUGCUAUGAGAACGCUUCUCGCAUAAAACACAUUUCAAUAACUAUUAAUAGGAGUGCUCACUGUAGUCCAUUGUUAAAACCCUGAUAUCUAGCUAUUCUCGGCUUUUAAAAUAUACAUGUAUGUAGAAUAUAGAAACCCUGAACUUAUUCUUAAUAUAUUAAUAAUAUGUAACU